UCGCGUCCUCCUUGAGCUCAGAAGCAGAAGCAGCGCUAUCUUCAUCUCACGAGCAUUAUCACUUAUCUCUUUCCCUCCUCCUCCACUCGCUCCGCAGCAUCUCGGAUCUCCCCCCACCUCCCCUUCUUGAGCACUUGAGGAGGAAUAAGUGCUAUUUUCCAGGGACCUGCGGAAUCCGGCACGACGCUGGACAUUGGAUCCUGGAUGGGGUCAAGGUCGCAGCCCUCAUACGCAAGAUUGUUGCCAUUUUCCUGUGGUUUAGCACAGGAAGGGAGGGAUGCUGGCCCAGACCCCGGAAGAGAGGUGUUCUGCAAACCAGGCCUCAGUAACAUCCACCUUGAGAACUGAUGUCAGGGACGGAGUUUUUGUCCUCUUAAUUAAUUAAGGACAGAAUUUAAGAGGUUUGCCAACUGAGUAUCAAAUCAGUCACUAGCCUAAAUAAAUCCCUGUAAUUUUAAACGUAUUAAACCA
ensembl:lncRNA